CUCGAGCCGUUAGCUGCGCAGUUAAGGUAAUGGAAUAAAUGGAACGAGUUGCAAAGCCUCAUGCCACCGCUACCAUGUGGGAACAUUUUGGAUUCAAGCCAGAUGAACACGGCCAUCUUGCGAACACCAACGAGCUGCUAUCUCCACAUUCUUAAGUCAAUCAUUUUGUCUUUGGAACGCUGGGUGAAAGACAGAAUAAAGCCUCUGGGAUUGGGAAUCAUUCCAAAUCAACAUCCAGCAAUAAUCCUUGAAAGUUUGAAAGCUAUUGGGUGAGCGGUGUUACUGACAGAGGACUCACAAAAAAGCAGCUUUGGAGGACAGACACCUGAAGCAUCUGUGAUGAGAAGAAUACCUGGAGAAAACCGAGAGAAUAUGCAAACUCCACAUAAGAAGGUUUAAACCGAGAUUGGAACCCAGGAGGUGUAUUAACCACUCUUCCAGCGUGCUGCCUGAUACUGUACAACUCCAUGGAAUUGAAUUAAAAUGAGAAAGCAGCUGAAGACGCUGAAUGGAUAUGAAAGACCAUUUAGGAUGUUUCAAGGCUCCAGGGUUGAAAUAGGCCGCGUCGUCAAGGCAUGUCGCAUUCUUGACCCGCCGGCAAAGGCGUCAUAAUUGACCGUUUUUUGGAGGCAGCUGCAUUCCUCUCUCCGGGCGUUGUGGCAUUGAAGUACGACAAUGGCGGAGGCUAUUGAGAGUUCCGAGAUGACAGGGCAACGGUGCGCUCCAGUUUUGGACUAUUUGGACGGCAAGGAUAAAUCUCAUCAUUUUCAUCUGAUGUCUCUUAAUGUAAAACAAUAGGCAACACAAGCACUUUACACAUGGCUUCGAUUCCGCAAUAAAGCCCGGCGCUCUUUUAAAAACGCCUCUGUAUAGCACAAAUGACAAUGAAUAGCUGUUAAUAUGAACGCCAGUGAUAGGUUUUUGUCGAGUCAGCUGCCUGGAAAGAUGAAUCACCAUUAUCAAGACAAUUUGAUGAUUGGUUGGAGAACAACAAAAUGAGAGCUUCAUUAGCUCUGUUUCUCUUUUGCUGUAAAUGAGCAUGUCACACUUCCCUCCCUGCCAUUAGUGAAAUAGGCCUAUUUAUUUAACCUAUUGGAUUUUUGUUGAUGAAGUACCCACAGAGGCUGAUGGAGGGAGAAUACAAAUAUGAGCUGACGGUGAGAAUAUUACAUAUCAUGCAGGAGCCGUAUAUCUCCGCGUAAGUCACUCUUUCUUUAUUUUACUGUUUGUCCUGGGAAUGAAGCGACGCUCAACACCUGUCAGUUUGCUUCUGGAGUCUGUCAAAGAUCAGACGACGUCACACGAGCAGGAUGAACGCUGACGUCGUCACUUUGACCGCAACGGCUUGACGUCUCGUUAGAAAAUUGCGCAAAUGUCUUCUUGUCGUCAAUAAGCAAACAUAAAUGUACACUCGUGUGUGGUUGUUUCAAUGUCUUCGCCUCACCAGUUACCUCAUCUUUAAUGUUUGUUAUAGUCCGUUUUUAUUCUUUUUCAUGUACUGUGAUUCAGCCCAAAUUGUUUUCGCACACCACCAGCAUUACUGUGUUCAACUCUUUAA